CAUUAGAUCACCGAAGUCAAGCAUCAUUGGGCGCGGUCAGUACUUGGGUGGGUGACCACCUGGGAACAACA
rnacentral:rRNA from 1 species